rnacentral:rRNA from 1 species
UACAGAGGUGCCGAGCGUUAGGCGGAAUCACUGGGCUUAAAGCGUGUGUAGGCGGAUGCCUAAGUACCUUGUGAAAUCCCACAGCUCAACUGUGGAACUGCUUGGUAUACUGGGUGUCUUGAGCCACUUAGGGGUUACCGGAACAAAUGGUGGAGCGGUGAGAUGCGUAGAUAUCAUUUGGAACGCCAAUGGUGAAAACAGGUAACUGGGAGUGUGCUGACGCUGAGACACGAAAGCCAGGGGAGCGAACAGG